AAAAGCUGACAAUGCCCAGCACCAUUCAGCAGUAAGCAUUCAAAUGGAUUUUUCCUCACCGCGUUUGCAGGCCCGGCACAGUCUCAGUUCCCCACAGCACAGAGAGGAAGCAAGGUCUUUGCAUGCCCUGUUCACUUGGCCAAACAUUGCCCUAGAUGUGCAAUUCAACCCAUAUAAAGCAAGCGUAAUUCAAGAGCCCUGACUCUUUCACCAUUUCAUGAUGGCUUAUUACUCGCACACGGCAUUGUCAGGUUCCAGCAACUCUGUGUGCAGCAGGCAGAAAUGCAGUGUUUAUCUCUGACAGGCAAACAUUCUUAGGCUCAUCGGCAUGAGUAUCCACGCUGAACUGGCUAUCGGGGAAGUAGAUCCCUGCAUGGGAAAGUCAAGUAUCCCCACUGUGUAGAGCUGGUCCACAAUGGAGAGGAGGAAAAGUUUUGCAUUGGACCAAAUCACUGCCUUAGAAGGAAAGAGAUUGCAAUCCCAUUCAUUUUUAAGAUCUGCAAUGGGUUGGGAUGAUACCCAUUUAAAAAAGAAAAAAAAAGAGGUUACCUCUUUGGCCUCUUUGGCAAAGGAUAUGAACUAGUAAUAAAGCCUCAGCAUCAAGGCUUGGGAGUCUGGCUCAAAGUGGCUAAGACUAGAAGCAUCUUCUAACAUAAAUAUGGCAGCAUUAGGAAAAUAGCUUGGCCUUUAGAGAGACCCAGAUUAUCUUCACCUUAAAAACUACCAAGACCCUGGUCCAGCAAGACCACCAUCACAGCAGUAAAUACAUAGCCACCAACUUCACAGAAGGUUUUCCACUGAGACAUUGUGAAAACCACAAUCCAUUACCGGUGGAUGAGUCCCAGCUCUCUUACUACCUGGAGCUUCCAAGCAAGACUUACCUGUCCUUUGUUCCAGAUUGGUUCCUGGGAUCCUGGACCAACACAAAGAGAAGAGGAAAGCCUCAAGGGAAAUAAAAGUGAAGGUUUCAGUGAUAGUUUAAAUAUAUAUUUUUAAAUGUUAGCUUUUUUUUAAAUACUUCACAGUGAUGGAUGGAGUAUUUCAACCACAAUGGCAAAGAAUGAAUUACCGGCAGUGUCAGAGUUUCUUGUUGCUGUGGGAAGACAGCUGCCAUGUUGAGAGGUGCCUUGUGGAGAGGCUCAUGUGGCGAGGAACUGAGACUGGCUUCUAUCCAACAACCAGUGAGGAACUAAGGCCCUAAAGUCCUAUAGUCCACAAGGAACUAAAUCCUACCAACAACUACAUGAGUGAGCCUGGAAUCUGAUUUUCCCCAGUGGGGACUUAAGGUACCUACAACCUGGCUGUUAUGGGCUAAACUGCAUCCUGCCCAAAUUUAUAUGUUUGAGUCUUAACUCCCAGCACUUCAGAACAUGGUUUUGUUUGGAGACAUAGUCAUUAAAGAGGUAAUGAAGUUAAAAUGAGGUCAUUAGGAUGAGUCCUAAUCCAAUAGGACUGGUGUUCUUAUAUGAAGAGGAAAUUUGAACACAGACACAUAUACAGGAAAGACCAUGCGAAGAAGACACAGAGAGGAAACGGCCAUCUACAAUCCAAGGAGAGAGGCCUCAGAACAAGCCAACCCUGCAGAUACCUUGAUCUAGGCAUCCAGAAUUGUAUGAAAACCAGUCUGUGGUGCUUUGUUAUGGCAAUCCCAGAAAACUAAUUAACUAAUUGACUGCAGCCUUGCAAGGGACCCUGAACCAGAGGACCCAGUUAAGCCAUGUGCAGAUUCCUGACUCACAGAACUAGGAGAUAACAAAUGUUUGUUGUUCUAAGGUGCUAAAUGUUGGGAAA
rnacentral:lncRNA from 10 species